UACGAAGGGGGCUAGCGUUGCUCGGAAUCACUGGGCGUAAAGCGCACGUAGGCGGAUUGCUAAGUCAGGGGUGAAAUCCUGGAGCUCAACUCCAGAACUGCCUUUGAUACUGGCGAUCUCGAGUUCGGGAGAGGUGAGUGGAACUGCGAGUGUAGAGGUGAAAUUCGUAGAUAUUCGGAAGAACACCAGUGGCGAAGGCGGCUCACUGGACCGGUAUUGACGCUGAGGUGCGAAAGCGUGGGGAGCAAACAGG
rnacentral:rRNA from 1 species